UACAGAGGGGGCAAGCGUUGUUCGGAAUUACUGGGCGUAAAGGGCGCGUAGGCGGCCAACUUAGUCGGACGUGAAAUCCCCCUGGCUCAACCAGGGAACUGCGUCCGAUACUGGAUGGCUCGAAUCCGGGAGAGGGAUGUGGAAUUCCAGGUGUAGCGGUGAAAUGCGCAGAUAUCAGGAGGAACACCAAUGGCGAAGGCAGCACUCUGGGGACGUGACUGACGCUGAGACGCGAAAAGCGUGGGGAGCAAACAGG
rnacentral:rRNA from 1 species